AUCAAGACGAAAAGACCCCAUGGAGCUUUACUACAACUUCGUAUUGGAACUUGGCCUAACAUGUGUAGGAUAGGUGGGAGACUAUGAGAUUAUGACGCUAGUCAUAAAGGAGUCAACCUUGAAAUACCACCCUUGGUAUGUUGAGUUUCUAACUUGCCGCCGUUAUCCGGUGGGAGGACAGUGCGUGGUGGGUAGUUUGACUGGGGCGGUCGCCUCCUAAAAGGUAACGGAGGCGUUCAAAGGUACACUCAAUACGGUCAGAAACCGUAUGCAGAGCGCAAAGGUAGAAGUGUGCUUGACUGCGAGACCUACAAGUCGAGCAGGUGCGAAAGCAGGACUUAGUGAUCCGGCUGUACGUCAUGGAACGGCA
rnacentral:rRNA from 1 species